rnacentral:lncRNA from 1 species
CCUGCUUGUCACUGCCUGUGGGUAGGGUGUCAUCAGGAAUGCCCUCCGGUGCAUGAAGCUCUCCCUCCCCUCCAAGAAACAUAGAACUGAGAAAUUGUAGGAGAGAGUAUUGGAGACUUCUAGCCAUGUUGAAAAGUCCUAUCCCUCUUAAUGUGGAGCAGAGAACUUUCAAGGUGAAUCUGGUGACAAUAUUUACCUUCCACUACGAAAGGCUGUUCAUUUGAGCUGUUUGGCUGCAAGAUUUGUGACAUUUGUGUUUGGCUUCAAGGCAGUGACAUGUGUGAUGACAAUAAUGUAUUGCCUGGGAUGGCCAUUCCCAGCAGGGCAAGCAGCUUGAGCAGGGAGUGUGAAGGCAGCGUGAGGUCCAUGCAGAGCCACUGCGUGUUUUCCAGUCACACACAGAGCGAGCAAUGCAGUUAUCCUCACCAAGUUGUCACUGUUGCCAGACAGCCCUUGGUUCAUAAUCUAAAUAGAGGUUCUUAUUUCCCUUGGGUUUCUGAAAGUUCUUGAUCUGUGUGACAGAAAAAAAUCCCUGGAGGUUUGGAGAUUUUACUUGGUUCUUUCAGGAUGCUAUGUCUGCCUGGGAUUAUCGUGCCCGCGUGAGAUUGAGAGUGCAGACAGGAUCUAGAUCAGCCGAGCGGCUGCCUUGGCCUUCAGUGAGUCGGACUCUUUGUGGGGGAUUCAAGGUUGAUCAGCAGCCACCCCUGCUGGACCCCUCUCACCACAUCCCUGCAUCCUCCAGUCACCACCCCUGACUGUCAGCUUUGCAUCUCCCCAAACUUACCACACAGUAUCCCAAUUCUUUGCCUGUGUUCCCGCUGUCUCAGCCCCUAAUACCAGCUCUCAGUGGGGCCUACUCAGAGCCUCAGCCCCGUUGUCUGUGAGAGGGGGUAAUACUGGCUUCUGAGGUCAUUGUGAGGAAGACAAGACUAAGUACAUAAUGAAAGUGUCUUGCAAAAUGGCUGGGACAUGUUGGCACUCACCAUUCUCACUAUUCAAAUGAAAAUAUCUCCACACAGAAGAUUAUCAGAAGAUGGUCACUGAAGUACAUUCAACUAAACUAAGGGCGUAAGAGCUCAGGCCCAGAGAUGCACAAUCCUUGUUUGAAAGAUAAGGCAAAGACCCUCCCCCCCCACCUUUUUCCUAGUGAAAUUCAGGAACUUCCAGUCAAAAAAGGAAAGAUAAUUUUGAGAAUAUGUGAGUUCAGAGAUCUAUACCUGAGAUCCAAAGGCAAUUAUUUUCCAUUAAAUAUGCAGCCACACAGUAAAGUGCUCAUCAGAAGCCACAGAUAUAUUACAGAAGACAAAUGUAUACAGGACAAAAUAAGAUCACAUUGAAAUAACCUCAAAUCUUUUUGCCUUACAGGACGAUGAUUUUGAAAGAGGAGUCUGAGCCGUGAUAAAAAGGCUAUGGCAAUUGAUUAUGGUUUUCCCUACCCAAUCCUGCCCCCUCCACUUUUAUCUUUCUUAUUGUCACCCCUAAUACACCCUUUAUGGUUCUAA